ensembl:snRNA U6 U6 spliceosomal RNA
GUGCUCCCUUCAGAAGCACAUCUACUCAAUCUGGAAUGAUUCAGAGAUUAGCAUGGCCCCUGUACAAGAUGACAUGUACAUUUGUGAAGCAUUCUAUAUUUUC